ACGGGAUCCAUCGGAGAGCUUGCUCGAAGAUGGUGAGAGUGGCGCACGGGUGCGUAACGCGUGAGCAACCUACCUCUAUCAGGGGGAUAGCCUCUCGAAAGAGAGAUUAACACCGCAUAAUAUCAACAGUUCGCAUGUUCGGUUGAUUAAAUAUUUAUAGGAUAGAGAUGGGCUCGCGUGACAUUAGCUAGUUGGUAGGGUAACGGCUUACCAAGGCGACGAUGUCUAGGGGCUCUGAGAGGAGAAUCCCCCACACUGGUACUGAGACACGGACCAGACUCCUACGGGAGGCAGCAGUAAGGAAUAUUGGUCAAUGGGCGGAAGCCUGAACCAGCCAUGCCGCGUGCAGGAUGACUGCCCUAUGGGUUGUAAACUGCUUUUGUCCAGGAAUAAACCUAAAUACGUGUAUCUAGCUGAAUGUACUGGAAGAAUAAGGAUCGGCUAACUCCGUGCCAGCAGCCGCGGUAAUACGGAGGAUCCGAGCGUUAUCCGGAUUUAUUGGGUUUAAAGGGUGCGUAGGCGGCCUAUUAAGUCAGGGGUGAAAUACGGUGGCUCAACCAUCGCAGUGCCUUUGAUACUGAUGGGCUUGAAUCCAUUUGAAGUGGGCGGAAUAAGACAAGUAGCGGUGAAAUGCAUAGAUAUGUCUUAGAACUCCGAUUGCGAAGGCAGCUCACUAAGCUGGUAUUGACGCUGAUGCACGAAAGCGUGGG
rnacentral:rRNA from 1 species